UACGUAGGGUGCGAGCGUUGUCCGGAAUUAUUGGGCGUAAAGAGCUCGUAGGCGGUCUGUCGCGUCGAUCGUGAAAACUUGGGGCUUAACCCUGAGCUUGCGGUCGAUACGGGCAUGACUGGAGUUCGGCAGGGGAGACUGGAAUUCCUGGUGUAGCGGUGAAAUGCGCAGAUAUCAGGAGGAACACCGGUGGCGAAGGCGGGUCUCUGGACAGUUCCUGACGCUGAGGCACGAAGGUCAGGGGAGCAAACGGG
rnacentral:rRNA from 1 species